GUUGGGUUCAGCCUUUGGCCUCUCUUUUCCCGCUAAAUUUCUCUUUGAAUCCGGCUGGAGAAAGAUCUCUGGGUUACACAGAUCUUAAAGAGAGGAAGAGAUUGUAAUAUUCUUCAGGGGAAGCCUUUUGAGAUUGAAAUAUCAUACUUUGAAUGAUAACUCUAUAUCUACCUAUAAUACACUAUGGUUUAAUGUUUGGAAAUCAAACACAGUAUUUAUUUUUCAUGUGAACUACUAAAAGUAAAUCUGCAAGGACUUCUUGCCUGGUGAGUUGCACAGAAAAUGAAAGUCAUUAUCAGUGGCUGUGGCAAGACUGAGGGAACCAUGCCAGAACUUCUGAGGGAAGGAAGAGUGUUUGGGACUGAAAAAUCCUUGUCUGGAUCUAGUCCUCAGCCACUCAGAAGCUGGCAUGCCAUGACUCAAAGAGCUGCCAGUCUGGAAUGAAGACAGUGCCCCGAAACUCCCACCUGAAGCCCGGUGCUUGGAAAAUGCUGCCAGUCCGCAGGAAAAAGUUGUUGCUGCUGCUGUCUGCGACCAAGAGGACACUUUAUUUCUUGAAACAACUGGGGGCAAACUGACUCCCAGAUAAGACUUCAGGCCCUACCCAUGUGAGAAACCAGCCCUGGGAGGUUCCAUGCACAAGAAUACAGGACAAUGAGCAGCUUUGCUCACCUCAUGCAACCUCCAGGGAUUUCAGCUUCCUUUUCUUGGAGGAAGAAAGUGAAGUGACAUGGGGAGUCACUAGGAACAAUGUCUGUCUUACUGUGUUUCAUGGAACCUGGAGGUUCUUUAGAGACCCCUCAGAAGCAGACAUAGUGGUCAGAGUAAAAGCUUAAGAGUAAGCUGUGCCUCUCCCUCCCCAGGCCCCAUCCCAACCACAGAAGUUCCACCUGCGUCAGUUUUAUAUACCAGACUACUGCAUGAAAUUACAUUUUGACAGAGGAUUAUUCUUUAAAAAUAUAUAAAUCUACCAAACUAGGCCAUAUCAAGUUCUGGUCCCUUCUCCAUUAGUGCAGUAAACAAUUCCACCAAGGAAUAAACAGGUCUGAAAGUGCUUUGCAAACUGUAGAAGGGCAUGCAAAUUCUAGGGGCUGUAAUUAGGAUUCUUCUCCCCAGCAGCGGGGAGUAUUUUGUUUGCCUUCUUCCCGAUAGUUUGGUGAGGGACUGAAGUCAUUUGCCCCCAUACCACAAAUGACUCAUUUCAAAUAACAGACCCGGUGACUUACUGAGUCAAGGCCCACCUUUGGGAAUUCCUGGAUCACCUCUUUGAGCUCCCCUGUCAUCCACUUUCCAUUCCAAAUACACCUUGCCUACUUCAGUGGUCACACAAACCCUUCCAAACUCUUAGAUGCUUGAUAUCUAUUGUGUGUUGCACCACCUUUCUUUCUAAGCCAAACCAUGGGAUGUGGGAAACUGGAAAGGAAACUUGAAUUGAUUUGAGUUGACAUGAGGUCACACUAUUUGGAAAAAAUCCAGAAUGCAAUCAGCAGCCUUGGACUGAGAAAGCCCAGGUCUGAGCAUUGUCUUUCCCCCUUAUCAGAGGAUGACUUAACCUCUGGGAGUUUCGGCAAUCCCAGCCACAAAACAAGGGUAAUCAGACCUUUCCCAUAGUUUAUUAUGAGUAGUCAGUGAAAGAAGACAUCAAGACCAUUUCCUGGGGUGCCUGCCACGUGGUGCGACUCAGUGACCUCUAAGAUACCUGAGAACAGGGACAUGUCCUUCUGGGGCACUAGCACAUACUCAGCUCUCAGUCCCUAACAUAUACACUGUGCUCCAUAAAUAAGCAUUACAUAAAUGCAUGAGGGACUGUUAUUUUUUUUUCCUCCCAUCAAAGCACAUAGGGGUGUUUCAGGAAUCACAUGAACUAGUGGGUGGAAACACGUAGAUAACUUGACAGUUUCUAAAUAAAUGCAAGCAAUGACAUCCUAUUUGGGGUGACUGGUUCAGGGACACUUGAGUGUAGCCAGAGCAUUACUCACUCUGGCAGACUAGUGUUCUUUGCUGAAAUAUUGGGGCCUGAUGGCUUCUGACUGGUAGUAAUAAAUCCUGCUCCUCUCAAGCAACGAAAAACCAAAUCUAAACCAAAUGGGAGCAGGAGUGUGAAAUGCAAAGCUGGGAGACCUUGGACCGAAUCGUGGAAUUCAAGGAUUACAAAUGCAGCAGGUCACAGACUUUUAAAGGAACAAUAUUUAAUUAUUUCAUGGGAUUGCUUCCCAGAAAAGGAAUGAUCUGGCACAGUAAAGAAAAAGUGACAUUGCAGUUGAACUUUAACUCUUAAAAAAAUUCAUACUUAGUUCAUAUUCACAGUGUGAAUUCUACAUAUACAAAUGAGCAGUGGUGAAAAAAGCUCUUGUGAAAUAAUUAUUAGUAAAGUCUAAAUAAACCAGUAGCUGGGAAGCAAACUUCAUGAAAAAUAAAUGACCUCCAAGGAUUAGUCUCAAGCUAACCAAGUCUGAUUACAGAGCUGAGCCUUUGGGAUUAAUAAGGCUUUCAAAUUAUGGCAGAUAAAGAAAUUGGUGUAGUUGCUGCACCCUGGAAGUGCCAAGGGGACAGAUGCAUCUGGAUUUUUUUAGAUAGGUCCAUGUUAGUCACAAAAUAGGCUUUACACAGACCUUUGGAGGUUAAAAUAGUAUGCAGAUAGGACAAAUCCUAGACUUGGAUGAUAAUAAAUUUAGAAAUGUGAAUUUUUGAGGAUGAGAUUUGAAUUAAUGGUAUGUGAC